GACGAACGCUGGCGGCGUGCCUAAUACAUGCAAGUAGGACGCAGUUGCGAACGGGUGAGUAACGCGUAGGUAACUGCCUAUUAGAGGGGGAUAACUAUUGGAAACGAUAGCUAAUACCGCAUACUAGUAGAUGGACCUGCGUUGUAUUAGCUAGUAGGUAGGGUAAUGGCCUACCUAGGGGACGAUACAUAGCCGAACGUAGAGGGUGAUCUGCCACGCUUGGUGUGCGACAAGGCCCAGACUCCUACGGGAGGCAGCAGGAGGGAAUCUUCGGCAAUGGUGGGAACCCUGACCGAGCAACGCCGCGGGAGUGAAGAAGGUUGUCGGAUCGUAAAGCUCUGUUGUUAAGGAAGCGGUACUUAACCAGAAAGGGACGGCUAACUACGUGCCAGCAGCCGCGGUAAUUC
rnacentral:rRNA from 1 species